AAUCCUGCUCUGAACCAAGCAGAAGGGAGACUUGAACCCACACGUCGCUGUAUUGAGAUGAAUGUCAGUGUUACUGAGACAUGGUGGGAAUGCUACAUCUAUGCUCCCAGUGUUUUGUGCUGAACAAAGUUGUCUGGACUAAGCAAGAGAGCAGAAGGAAUGGAGGCAAUAAGCUCCAUAUGAGAAGGUGGUCUCAUGCCUUUAGAUUUUAGGAGUAGUAUCUUCAGGUUCUCAUAUGUGGUUUUACCAACUUAAUGGGCCCUGCUA